rnacentral:lncRNA from 1 species
GUACCCCAGGAGGCAGCCCAGAAGGCAGACAUCGUUUUCUCAGUGAAGAGCCCACUGAGUGCCAGCUACCUGGUGAUGGUUUCGCCUGGCGCCUUGGCAGAUGAGCCACCCAGCCUGGACCCCAUGCAGAGCUUCUCUCAAGAGGUGGUGGACGCAGGCAGGAUCCUGUACCUGCACUCCUGCCCUGAGGCCUGGAGCGAUGCCUUCUCGCUGGUUGUGGCCUCAGUCUGGGCGCUCCCCUCGAGGACGUAUCAUAGAGCCAGAGGUGCUGCCCACUGUCAUCCCCACCGGGAGUGCAAAACUUCAGCGUCCCCGAGGGUGGCAGCCACACCUUGGUCCCUCCACUGCUCCGCAUCACCGGGCCCUACUUCUCCACUGUCCCGGGCCUUGGCCUGCAGGUUCUGGAGUCAUCCUGGCAUGGGGCCCUGCAGAAGGAAGAUGGGCCUCAUGCCAAGACCCUCAGCGCCUUCUGCUGGAGAGAGUGGAAGCUGAAGCCCUGAAAGUCAGUCUCCUCCUGCACCCAAAGGCAGGGCAUCUGGGUCCUGACUGCCAGCCCUGGGCCUGCCCCUCGGUGGAAGAGCAGCUGAUCUGCUAUGUGCACGAGGGGAGCAAGACACUGACAGACAGUUUUGUCCUGAUGGCUAACGUCUCGGAGAUGGACCGCCAGAGCCAUCCUGUGGCCUUCACUGUCACCAUCCUGCCUGUCAAUGGCCAACCCGCCAACCUCACCACAAACUCAGGCCUGCAGGAGCCCAGCGAUGGGGCCCUGCACCCCACACUAUGGCCCCUCCUGCCAAGGCUUGGCCUGAGGGCUCCCUAGGGCCAGGGGAGGAAGCCCAGGAAUGCCAGAGGGCUGUUUUCCGGGCACGUGAGUCCUACUGUAGCACUGCUCGCAAGUAAUUGACCCAGCAAGACUGGUACCAGGACCUCAGGAAUAGGCGCCUGCUCUGCUUUCAAGUGGGAGGCCUGGAAAGGGGUCCCCUUUGCCCAACACGAGGAGGGCCCGUAACUGCUCUGGAAGCCCCGGGCCCAUCUGACCACUGCUUCUGUGCUGCAGGAUAGUGCCAACCAUCAGGCCCCAACUCUCUGUGCCUCCCACCCCUCCCUCAGCUGGAAGGAGGGCCCAUUUCUAAAAUCACCAUUCCCACCUGUGCCCAGCCCCUUCUAGGCACACAUGGAGGGUCUGAAAGGAGACCCCUGUCCCACGAGAGACAGAUGAAGGAGAACCGUUGGUCAGCAUUGGGGGUUUCUGGCGGUGAGAACUUGGUGAGGGU